GGAUGGUUCCCUGUCUCACAUUUAGGUCUUUCAUCCACUUUGAAUUGUUUUUAUGUAUGGUGUAAGAAAGUGGUCCAGGUUCAUUCUUCUGUAUGCUGUCAUCUAGUUUUCCCAAUAUGAUUUGGUAAAGAGACUAUCUUUUUUCCAUUUCUCAACAGAUUUUUU